rnacentral:lncRNA from 1 species
GCCCUUCAUGUGGGGCUGAAGUCUUAAGACCUGGAGAGCAGCCCCAAGGGUGGAGAAGCGGCUGCUGAAGGGAUCAGCAUGCGCUGGCACAGGAAGUCUGUUUUCCAUGUGUCUGGAACCCAGCCGAAGCUUCCUGGGGUAAUUUUAACCAGUAUCCACUCUAGAACAAUACCAAAAAAGCAAGACUGUGUUGGGCUGGAGGAAAGGCAGUAAUCAACUCCAUGUUCCACGUGAGGAAACUGAAGAUCAUGGAAGGCAAGUCGAGAGCCCCAAGGUUAUCCAGCUUCAAGGUCACCAGUCACCCAGCUUCCUUCUUUCGUGCAGCCAGAUGCCCAUCCCAGUACUAGGUUGCGCUGUGGGGAUUGUGGAGUAGCCCUCUACCACCUAGGGCCCUCAUGUGUUUCCUUUAUUUGAGACAGGGUCUCACUCUGUCACCCAGGGUGGAAGUGGCCCAGUCACAGCUUACUGCAGCAUCAGCCUCCCCAGGCUCAAGUGAUUAAGGCCUCCCUCUGCCUGCCCCACCCCCACUGUGUUUAUAUUGUUGGGAAACUUAAUCCACGGAAAUAAAGUGUGGAUUAUUUUUAUUGA